GAUGAACGCUAGCGACAGGCUUAACACAUGCAAGUCGAGGGGCAGCAUAAAAGUAGCAAUACUUUGGUGGCGACCGGCGCACGGGUGAGUAACGCGUAUGCAACCUACCUAUCAGAGGGGGAUAACCCGGCGAAAGUCGGACUAAUACCGCAUAAAACAGGGGCACCGCAUGGUGAUAUUUGUUAAAAAUUUAUUGCUGAUAGAUGGGCAUGCGUUCCAUUAGGUAGUUGGAGAGGUAACGGCUCACCAAGCCCACGAUGGAUAGGGGAACUGAGAGGUUGGUCCCCCACACUGGUACUGAGACACGGACCAGACUCCUACGGGAGGCAGCAGUGAGGAAUAUUGCUCAAUGGGCGAAAGCCUGAAGCAGCAACGCCGCGUGUGCGAUGAAGGCCUUCGGGUCGUAAGCACUUUCUGAGAGAUGAGCAAGGACAGUAUCUCAGGAAUAAGUCUCGGCUAACUACGUGCCAGCAGCCGCGGUAAAGUAGUCG
rnacentral:rRNA from 1 species